GCCACCCUAGCUCAAUGGAAGAGCAGAUGUAUCGUAAACAUCCGACAAGAGUUCGAUUCUCUUGGGUGGCU
rnacentral:tRNA from 1 species